AGUGUCAGUAUCUUUGUGUGUUAAUGUGAGUGUCUAGCUGUAUGUGUGUUAGUGCUAGGGUCUUGUUGUUUUAGUAUGACUGCCUGGAUGAGUGUGUAAGUAUGAGUUUCUAUGUGCAUGUGUGUUAGUGUGGCCGUCUCUGUGCAUAUGAGUUAGAAGAUGUGUUGUUUUGAGUGUCUGGGUAUGUAUGAGUUAGUGUGAGUGUCAGGGUGUGCAUGUUAGUGAGUGUCUGGUUAUGUUAUUUUAAGUGCCCCUCCCAAGAUUAGGCUCUGGAUCUGCCCCAGAUUUUGAAAAGCUACAGUGACGGGACCACUUCACAUAAAACUCAAUUUUUACAUACAAAUCUCUUUGUCAAAAUUAUUGGAGUCAUCAAAUACAAAGAGAAUGUGAGGUUGAAUUUAUUUCCUGCUAGUGAUCAUGAAAUCGUGGUAAUAUAUUUCCCAAAAUGAAAUUUUAAGGCAAGACAAUUUGAACCCCAGGCUUAAUUAUGCAAUUUUUACCAUAUUUUAUCACAAUUUUCACAGCUGUGCCAAGGCAACAGAUUGAAGCCGGAAGUUACAAAAAAAAGAAAA